AGUUUUACAUUUUUAAGUUAAUAUAGUUUUACAUUUUUAAAUUAAUAUACAAUAUAAAAAAUGUAAAUACCACAUUAAACAGCUAUCUGAAAAUGUAUAGUUUUACAUUUUGAAGUUAAUAUAGUUUUACAUUUUUAAAUUAAUAUAUAAUAUGAAAAAUAGAAACAUUACAUUAAACAUUUAUAUGAAAAUGUUUCACUUAUGUUACCCGUAGGAUGUGGAAUUCAUUUGCAUCUCCUGUUCUAUGUGCUCGCGCAAGCUGCUUCGUGGAUUCACAUAAUUCAGCUGCGACAGAUGCAAUGAUAACAAUGUUCCGAGUGCAGAUGACGGUAAAAGACGUCACUGAGGCAGCUCUUUUUGGCAUUUGUUGGGGCAAUCACCAAAAUUUCUUUAGGUGAAAAUCAGAGUUAGAUUUGAGGCCAAUUGUGUUGGAUUCAAUUUUGUACACAAUGAAAACAUUUAAUGUUCUUUAUUUAAUUCUUGAUUUUGAUAUGCCAUUCAAAAAGUGGAACUAUAUACAAAACUUGAGGUAUGUAUAGCAAAAUACUACGACUUAGCUUUUUUGUACACCGAAGAAAAAAUAACACAAGGUUUAGAACA